CCUCCCCCGCUGCCGCCCACCCCCCGUCGCCGCCCUCCCUCGCUGCCACCUCCCACACGCUGCUCCACCGCUUCCUCCUCCGCACGCCGCCCUCCCCUGCCAAGCCUUCCACCCAUCUCUGUUAAGAUCCCCCGCUGCUGCCCACCUUCCCGGCUUCCCCACGCCAUUCUCUCCAGCCGACUGGUCCCAACGCCGCCCUCUCCCGUCAAACCGGCAUUGGAAAAGUAGCAGGUUCAGGAAAAGUGAUGGGAAAUUUCACCGGAAUAAGCGUCGGCAUAGUCGUUGGAACUCAAACGAUCGACGAAACAUAGAAAAUUUGCAGAAGCUUCCAAGCUCUCGACACCAUAACUUUCGCCUAUUCCUGCUCCUUAAUUCUUCAUCGAGAUUCAGGGAUACCGGCAGCAGGAGCUUCUGGGAUAGUUCUGGUUGUUGGCAUCACAUUUGCUGCAUUUUCUAUUAGUGGAAAGAGUACUUUAAGUGGGUAAGUCCUUCCUUGGUAGUUCAAUUAUUUGAUGUGUUUUUUCUGAUUUUUCUUGUAGUGUUAUAUGUUGUUUGUGUUCUUGUUUCUUUGAUCAGUUUUUGGAGGGGUUGAAUGAGAAAUUUUAAUUGUAAUCAUGUUUGUUAUUUCUUAUAGUUGAAGGCCACUCCAUAUACAUCCGCAAUUUGCCUCUUAGUGUCACAGCUUGUAUCUGAACUUUAGAAAUGAUUAAAUGGAGGAUAUGCAUCACAUCUAACUUAUAAAUCCUCAAAAAGUAAACAACUUCCUAGGGGUUACACUUACAUGCCCUUUCUUGUGUUACUAUAUCUAUAGAUUUGGGUUCCCAUGUGUUUUUCCAUAUGGUUGAUGAUGACGGUGCUGUGUUGGUUAUCGAGCUUCUAUUGCUUGUACAGAUUAGCCUCAUUACAUUUUUGGUAGUAAAUGUUUGCUUCUCAACAAUGCUUCUCUUCUCAAUGAUCGGAACCCUGAAGUGAGAUCCCUAUAUCUCUUUCUCUCCUUCCACAUUGUACAUUCAUUUCUAUCUCUUAAAAGAAUUUACAGAGCCAAAUAAUGGAAAUGCCGCUGUUUUGGAGAUGCUGACAGUCUUGCCUGAAAUCGUUGAAGAUUAAAAUGGUGAUUUCCGUGUAACCUCUGCUCGACAUAAAGAGUAUGGACAAGAGGUUUUGCAAUCUGAUUCAUGCAACUUCACUGGAUUUUUCUUAUUUUAGUUCGGACCUGGUGGGCAACUUAAACUUGCAGAUUUUGGGUUAGCUCGUAUAUUCGGGAGCCCUGAUCGAAGGUUCACACAUCA